CGGAAUCAUGUACUUUCGCUGACCUGUGAGGCUGGCCCCAAAUCCAGUGUCUCAGGUGCACCUGGGUGGGCUGCAAACUUGAAGUCUCUGAGUGCUUCAGGAAAAUCCCACGAGAAAGCCUUUAAAAACAUAAAAGCCUUUUUUAGAUCACCUGUUAUACAAAAGCAGACCAGAUUCAGCCCGGGGGCUGUUGUUUCCCAACCCCCGAUCUAGACAAAGAGCAUCUGGGGCCAAGAACACCAAGGAAAAGGAGUUCCCAUACCUGCCUUCCUGACCAGAAAUCCCAAACUCACAGUCCAGACCCCAGACCUAGGGGGAUCCCCCCUCCCCUGCUGGAGACGCUGCUGGCCAGGCAUUUAGUCUGCAAAUACCCUGACAAGACAGGUCAUCAAUGUGAAAUUAUCACCAUCAGCAGGGCCAGGCGGCCUGGCCUCCCAUUAUGACCAAAUGAAUAACUCCGUUUAGAGAAGUCGUUUAGGGCGCUGCCCCAGACAAUGACUCCUGUCAAAAGAUUUACCGAAGCUCAGGGGCAAUGUGGCGGGGAGGCCCCGUGGGCCUGGCCUCACAGUUUAUCAGCUCAUGCAGAAAACAAAGAUUGCAGCGUGGACCAUUUCGCCGCUGAAAUUCAUGCCUUUUGACCCCAAAUGAAGAGAUAAUCCCGGGGCUUGUUUCCACUUGAGCUUGGAGAUAUUGUAAACAGCUGGCUCUGAAGCAGAACCUCACAUUGGCCUUGGGUGGAAAACAAGUCAUCAACCACACUGCUGGGGAAAGCGGUUCUUUACUUCAUUUUACUACACUCCCUUGGAAGCACCCCCCAGGAGAAUUCUAUUUUUAAAUUGAGUGCUUGGUAGAACUCUCGCUAAAGGAACAUGCUGGAGGAUGUGCUUCCUCCAAUCCCCUACUGAAGACUGUAAGCUUAAUCAUGAUGUAUUUUCUCCUUGGCUACCAGGAAGCUCAAAAGCCAAGAAAAGCUUAAGUCCGUCAGCAAGGCUGGUCCUUUAUAUUAUAACAUGUGCAUUAUCCUUUACUUUCCUGUUGUGGAUUCUAUUUAGGUUUAAUGAUGUUUGUUUAAGUGCUUCAUCGUGUAAACAGCUUCAUAUCCUUUGUUGAAAGAGGGAGGGCUGUGGGUAAAUGAUGGCGGGCUUCCAGGCAGGCAGAGUGGACAGCCAGAGGCAAUAACAGGAUUCGCCAAGGGACACCAGGUGGGAAGACCCAUGCAAAGGCAGCUUGGGAUGAUCCACUUGCCCAGCAUGAGAGGGGCACCUGGUUCUGCCCAGAAGCUCAGGAAAUACCACGUGAAUGCAUGAAUGUUGAAUGGAUAACUGAGCACUAAGCAAGUGGCCAGCAGACCCUGGACGCAGGCACCGUGCUCGGCCUCUGCUGCUUGGGGGUCCUCUCCUGACUUGUGAGGCCAGUCACCACCUCUCUCACAGUGAGAUGGGGAGAUGAAACCACAGCGGCGACCUGGCGUGUGCCCGGUGCAUGGCGCAGCCUAUGAGAGCUCCUCCACCUUCUCCUCCUUUCAGGGUGAGGUCAUGUUUGACCAGCUUAAGUCAGGUGACAGAUGCCAAGAAAGUGUGCAUGCUGCAAUUAGAAGCUGGAAUGUUACAAAGGAUGAUAACAGCAGCUCCAGAGCAUUUGCUGAACCCCAAGCGCUGUCCUAUGCAACCCGUGUGGACUAACCCCUGUGAUGCCCACACCCUCACAAGGUAGGAAUUCUCAUUGUCAUUUUACAGAUGACAAAAUGGAGGUGUGGCAACUUUAAAACCUGUCUACAAAUUCUUGGACCUUCUGGCAUCGAGAGGCAGGUCACAGACCACACACACACACACACACACACACACACACACACGCACACGUAUGCAUACGUUGAAGCUGGCUGGCUGCGAUUGUGACUCUUUUGUAGCCAAUAUCAUGGCAGUGAGGUUAGUUGAGAAAAUGUGGUGGUGCCAACAGUUCCGGUUUUUGUAGCCCAGGCACCAACCAUGUGAGCAAUGAGAUAAUCCCAGCCCCCAGGCAUUAAGUCCCCCAGAGCCCCCAGUCUUCCAAGCAGGGGUCCCCCAGACUGUGUGGAGCAGACAAGUCAUCCCCACUGGCUCCUUCCACAAAGAGGUUGUGGCUUUAUUUCUAAGUUUGAGGUGGCUUUACAUUGACAGGACAGAGAUUUGGUGUCUGGGCAAAUCCCAAGCAUUAACUCUGGUCCUGGGCAGUGGAUAGAAGCUAAAGGGGCCUUGAGAAGACUGCCAGUGAGGGCUUGAGGAAGACCAAGAAGAACGUCAUUGGAAACCAGAGAAAAAGGGAGGUCAGUAACCCAAAGGAGGCCAAUACUGCCAUAAGCUACAACGUGGAAAGCAGGAAAAGGGUACCUAAUUAACCCAGUGAUGUAGCAAGCUUCUUCUGUAAAGGGCCAAAUGGUAAAUAUUUUAGAUAUUGUGGAGAAGAUGGUCUCUGCUGAAACUCCUCAAGUCUAUAGUUGUAGCUCAAAAGCAGCCAUCAACAAUACACCAAUAAAUGGGCAUGGCUGCACUCCAAUAACCCUGUUUACAAAAACAGGCAGUAGGCUGGAUUGCUCACCCCUGAUCUAGCUAAGAUGUCCAGGAAAAUAUAUUGAAA
rnacentral:lncRNA from 1 species